rnacentral:rRNA from 1 species
UACGUAGGUGGCAAGCGUUACUCGGAAUCACUAGGCGUAAAGCGCAGAUAGGUGGCUAGAUAAGUUUCUUGUGAAAGCUCCCGGCUUAACUGGGAGAGGCCAAGGAAUACUGUUUGGCUUGAGUAUGGUAGGGGUAACUGGAAUUCCCGGUGUAGCGGUGAAAUGCGUAGAUAUCGGGAGGAAUACCUAUGGCGAAGGCAGGUUACUGGGCCACAACUGACGCUGAUGCGCGAAAGCUAGGGGAGCAAACAGG